CCCAGGCUGGAUCUCAGCCCUGAGUUGUGGGCCCAUUUCCACCUCAGCCAGAGGACACAGCGCGGGGUACACUUGACAGCCUAUCCUGAAGCCCCGCAAAAAAGAGCCAAUCUCAUUCGAUCAAAGUCAGAGCCAACAGUUCAAGAAGCCCGGUUGGAGGUCAUCUGGCAAUUAGCCGGCUGGAGGAGAGCGGAGCGCGGGGUAGGCAGGACCCUCGGCGCAUCUCCCACGCCGUUCACAGGUGACACUGCAGGGAUCAGCCUGGGGCCACCCGCCUCUUGGUUAUUUCAGUCUCCUGCGCUCCUGGGGCCGGGGGGGGGGGGGGACCCUCAUCACUGCGUGGGAGGCCGAGGAAGGAGACGCGGGACGCGCGCGAGCGAGGAGCUGCGGGUCCACUGGGCGGGCGCCAGCCGCGCGGGGCGGGGAGGGGGGAGGGCGCGGGGACGGGACCCCAAAAGGGUGACAGCGGCCCGGAGCCUGGGCGGAGCUCCGGGGGGCAGUCCCCGCGCGCGCAAGCCGCGCCCCCGCACUUGCCCCUCCUCUGCCCCGGCGGGGGGCAACCGCAGCCCGCGGGGAGUGGGGCAGCCCGGCCAGCGGCGCCCCGGGAUCGCUCGGUCUCCGCCCGCCCCUCCCUCUCCGUCUCCGUCUCCGCGGGCCUCCGCCCCCUCCCCCUCCCCCCGCCCCUCGCGUCCUAAAACGCGGCGGGCGCCUUUAAGAGGGAGCCGCGGUUGCCCCGGGGGCGGGCACCCCUCGGCAGCUCGGGAGGCGGCGGCGCUCGCCCGCGAUGCUGCUCCCUCCCGGCUCCAGCUCCCGCCGCCUGCAUCGCCGCCGCCGCCGCCGCCGCCUCCUCCUCUGCCUCGAGGCGUCGUUUUCUGCAGCGGAGAGAAGUGCUAUGUCCGGAAAGUUCCGGGAGGGACUGGAUGGGGCCAUGCGCCCCGGGCUCCCGAGCCGGCGCCCGCGCGCAGCCCUUUGUAUGAGGCAAAAGGAUUCCUAUGGAAGAUGGAACUCUGUUUUCCAGAAUGUGUUUCCAAACCAAUCAAUGAAACAUGAUACUGCUGCUCUGUGUUGAAAUGCUUGAAGAACACCCACAUCUCUGUCAGCG
rnacentral:lncRNA from 1 species